rnacentral:misc_RNA from 1 species
UCUCUACUUGCGUAGGCAGUCUCCUUAGAGUGCCCAGCAUUAUCUGAUGGCAACUAAGGACGAGGGUUGCGCUCGUUGCGGGACUUAACCCAACACCUCACGGCACGAGCUGACGACAGCCAUGCAGCACCUGUACAAGCUUGCCUUGCGGCACCCCGACUUUCAUCGGGAUCAGCUUGCGUUUCAAGCCUAGGUAAGGUUCUUCGCGUUGCAUCGAAUUAAACCACAUGCUCCACUGCUUGUGCGGGCCCCCGUCAAUUCCUUUGAGUUUCAACCUUGCGAUCGUACUUCCCAGGUGGAAUACUUAAUGCGUUAGCUUGGACACUGAUCCCGCAAGCGGGACCAACAUCUAGUAUUCAUCGUUUAGGGCGUGGACUAC